UACGUAGGGUGCAAGCGUUAUCCGGAAUUAUUGGGCGUAAAGAGCUCGUAGGCGGCUUGUCGCGUCGGCUGUGAAAACUCGGGGCUCAACCCCGAGCCUGCAGUCGAUACGGGCAGGCUGGAGUCCGGCAGGGGAGACUGGAAUUCCUGGUGUAGCGGUGAAAUGCGCAGAUAUCAGGAGAAACACCGGUGGCGAAGGCGGGUCUCUGGGCCGGAACUGACGCUAAGGAGCGAAAGCGUGGGGAGCGAACAGG
rnacentral:rRNA from 1 species